rnacentral:lncRNA from 1 species
ACCAGCAACUGCGGAAUGUUUUGUGUCUCCAGUUUCAAAUUUCGCGGAAAGGGACCAAAUGUGAGGACAUAUAAAAUAUCCCCUUCUCUUUUCAUUAAAAAUGAGUGCAUUACAAAGGAAGGGCAGCCCCUUAAUGCCUGCGAGAAUAGCGCUGCUGGUUUCGUUUUUGUUUUGUUUUGUUUUGUUUUUCAUUCUGACCCACAAUCAGUGUAUUUUUGAGGUCCCUAUGCAAUGGCGACGGUGCCGUGAAGGGCAACUCAGCAAAAUAAAGCGGUGAUACAUUUUUUAACCGAUUUUUUUCUCAGAGGAGAAAAAUCUGAACAAUUUGGCCUAAGUUUCACUUUGUCCUUCUCUUAGGUUGAUCUCAUUUAAAUUCAGGGCCUACUUCCACUUAAGCAACUUCUUCUUUCAUUGUAUAGGUUCUUUAAUAUCCAACCUUUUUAAACUUAACUUGAAGCCUUUAAUUUAAAAAACUGUCCCAAUCAUCAUUUUCUUUUCAAUGUAUGCAGUUGCAUUUUAAACAUCCAUUUAACACACAAAAUGUGAUUUUUGAAAUUUUUUUCACUUUCAAACCCACCUGCUACAUACUCCCAGAGAGCGUUUUAUUUAAUUGCUUAAUAGAGAAGAUUAAGCAGUUUCUUUAAGAAUCCAAUUUCCCUUCAACAAGCACAACAGCAGCUGCCCAAGCUCCCAGAAACUAAGCAAAGGCAAGUAGCAGGCAGCGUUUUGCUUCACUAGAAUGAAUGUUAGUUGAAACCUUAAAUACCUCUUUAAAAGACUAGAUUAAAGAGAAUAAUGGGAAUAUUAAGAUACUCCGGUAGUUAGUUAAAAUAUUUUUUAAGGAAAACCAGGCAGAUAUACAUCUAUUUUGAUGAUUUGAUCCCACCUUCAAAGAGGAUCCCUGAAAAGAGUUUUAGUCACAAUUUGACAAAUUUUAAAUAAUUACUUUGUUUCAGAGUCAUGAGGAUGGAAAGAAGAUAGCCUGCGUUGAGUUGAAGUAAAGUAAAAAUAUUAUGAAUAUGUGUAACUAGGUGACAUCCUCUCUGCUGGGAAGAAUCCUUUUUUUUUUUUUUUUUUUUUUUCUGGUGACAGGUUCUUGCUCCAUCACCCAGGCUGGAGUGCAGUGGCAUGAUCUUGGCUCACUGCAGCCUCUCCCUUUCAGGCUCAAGCAAUCCUCCCACCUCAGCCUCCCGAGUGGAGGGGGAGCCACUGCAGAUCUGGAGCAAAUCAGCACCAGCCACUCCAGAGCCUGACCUACAUAGGACUCAGAAAGCAUUGUCUAUUGUGAUUGAUUAUUCCUGUGUUCAGUCCCAAUGGCCUAUUGAUUGGGGGUUUCUCUCCAAAAGGCUGCAUGGCUUUUCUUCUCUAAGUGAAUCUCCUUUAUAACCCAUAUUUUAUGUCUAUAUACCAAACAUGCUAUCCAUAUUUAGUCAAUGUCCAGUUGCUUGCAUGUAAGGGCAAUAGAGUAAUCAGAAAACUCUUCCCAGAAAGCCCCCGAAGACAAAACUAGUACUGGUAGAAAACUGGGCAUGCAGCUCUAAGAAACUCUAUGGGAAGUGAGGCUGGGUGGGGCACAGCUGCCCCAGCCUGGCACCCAUAUGGAGCAUCAGCAAGGAAGUAGGAACUUUCUUUUCAUCAUGCAUCCUUCUUAUCACUUCUCAGUUUCAAAGGGAAAGAAAAUUUGGUAAUCUGCAUUUUGAGACAUUAAGAAAAUAAAAUAAUUAAUGGCUUCAUGGUUAUAUGGCAUUUUUCAGAGUAUUGUCAGAAAAUCAUUUCGAACUGAAAUUUUCAUUCAAAAAUAUUUAUUGAAUGCCGGCUAUGUGCUGAAGAUUCUUAAGAUACAUCAGUGAACAAAUCAAAGUUCCCUGCUUUCUUGGAGCUUGCAUUCCAGCGGGAGGAGAGGAUUUGGAGGAAGAAUGGGAUAGACAAUAAAUCACAAGACCUCCUGCCACAGAGCAUGGGACCUGAUAUAUCCAGGCAGGAGAACUGGGUACCAGGAGACACUGUACAUGAAGUUUCCAGAACCAGCCAUGUCCAUCUUACUAAUCAAGACUCUCUCUGUUAAAUCUGCAACUCAAAUGACUUUAAGGAAAAAUGGAUUUCAUUGAUUCACAUAACCAUCACUCAAGGACUAACUUUCAACAUAGUGAGAUCCUGAGGCUCAAAUAUUAUUACCCGGGUUCCAUGAACUGCUUCCUCUGACAUGAGAUCUAACAAGGCUAAAGACUAAAAUGCAGCUGUUUACAGCGUAAGUAGGAGGCCGUCCCGUGCAGUGCAAAAUCAACAGAGAGGAGACAGUCCUAUGCCUUCGAGAGACAGUCUGCUGAUACUGUCAUGAUGUCUAGUGACAGGCCAGAGAUCAAAACCCAACACCCUCAUUUACCUGACAGUGAUUUGGCCAAUCCCUUAACAUCUCUAAGAGCUUCAUUUUUCUACAAAAUUGAGACAAUAGUAUUUGUUUCAUAGUGUUACUGUCAGGGUUAAAUGUUAUACAUUAAGCAUUUAAUAUAUGCUGCUUGUUUAUCUAAAUAUUCAUGGUCAGGCACUAACUUCUUAUGUGACUCUGAGCAAUGCAUUCAUCUCUGUACCUGUUUCCUCAUCCAUAAAUUGGGAGUUGAACAAGGUGAGCCCUAAGUUUCGUUCCAACUUCAAUAUUCUAUAAUUCUUGCAACUUAUAUGGCCUCAGUUUUCUUAUCUUUAUAAUGGGCAUAAGAGUACCUACCUCACAGAAUUUUUGAGAGGAUAAAAUGAAUUAAGACAGGUAGAAAAUUCUUAGAACAGUGCCUGCCACAUUGGAAGUGCUUAAUAUGUAUUAGCUGUGAUGAUGCUGCUAAUGAUGAAGAUGAUAAUGACCCUAUUUGCAGAUAGUAUGGCAGCCAUAAAACAUUCAGUAUCAGAUUGAUUACAUUCUCUUAUUUUCUGAGUCAAUGCCAGAGCUACCAAGAUUUUAUUCUUUAAAGGUUCUUCAAGACUAAAUUCUUUUUACAUGAUAUGAUUAUUACACAUUGUAUGUCCGUAUCAGACCAGCCUGGCCAACAAGGUGAAACCCCAUCUCUAAAAAUACAAAAAUUAGCAGGGCAUGGUGGCACGCACCUGUAGUCCCAGCUACUCGGGAGGCUGAGGCAGGAGAAUCACUUGAACCCGGGAGGCAGAGAUUGCAGUGAGCUGAGAUCGUGCCACUGCACUCCAGCCUGGCAGAGUGAGACUCCAUCUUAAAAAAUAAAUAAAUAAAUAAAUAAAUAAAUCUCAUGUACUCCAUAGAUAUGGGGUACCUACUAUGUACUCACAAAAAUUAAUUUUUUUUUAGAAAAGCCUAAGCUCAUUUGCUUCUUAGUAAGAAUUAUGUUAAGAUUUCCCAGUGUAGAUACCCUAGGCUGCUAAUUUUUUUUCUUUUGUUAUCAGUAUCUUAAGAAAUUAAUUGGCCCGGGAGUGGUGGCUCAUGCCUGUAAUCCCUGCAGUUUGGAAGGCCAAGAUGGGAGGAUUGUUUGAGGCCAAGAGUUCAAAACCAGCCUGGGCAACAUAGUGAGAUACUAUCUGUAUAUAAAAUAAAAAAAUUAGUGAGGCAUGGUGUCAUAAGCCUGUGGUCCCAGCUACUUGGGAGGCUGAGGUGAGAGGAUUGCUUGAGCCCAGGAGGUCAAGGCUGCAGUGAGCUGUGAUGGUGACACUGCACUCCAGCCUGGGCUAUAGAGCAAGACCCUGUCACCCUCCUCAAAAAAAAAAAAAAAAAGCAAUUAAUUGAUUUAUUUAUGGCCAUUCUCUCUUUUUGUGAGCUGGAUAUGUGUUCACUUUCAUUCUAAAAACGUACAGCCCCCAAAGCCCACACAUGUUGUCAAAGCUCACUACAUUUACCUAGAGAGUUUCCUGUAGUCUCCUCUUUCAAGUAUUUUAAAUAAUGCGUAAUUUCUUCAUGUAACUGAAACAUGUUAAUGUUGAGUUGGCACAGGAAGAAAAGUUUUGAUUUACUCAGAACUGGGAUUUGUGUGGGUCAUUUCCUAGUCCUCCUAAGUAUUUAACAAAUGUAAAAUGUAACACACAAUUAAAUAAGCUACCCAAGCCAAAUGAACUGGUGAGUGCAUUAUAAAUAGCAACCAAAAUUAUUCUUCAGUUGUUAACUGGUAUGUCCUGAUUUAAUAAUGAAUUACAUCAUUUGACAAAUGAGAUAAGACUUCCACCUUUAGCUUUCUGAUCCAAACUUCUAAUAGUUGAAAUGUAUUAUUACCAUCUGGUGUCUGGCCUCUGAAAUGCCCUGGCGAUAUCUGCCUCAUUUCAAGUAGUUGGGGCUUGCAUAUGCCAGCAAAGCACUCUCCGAAGUGUCUUGAUUGGCAGGCCCAGAGAGAAGGCUAAGAACCGAAUGAACCAUGGAGAUAUAGCUCCAGCUCUGUAGAAGUUUCCUCUGGUUCAAGGCAGACUCAUUUUCUUAGUUUGUGCAGCAAAAAAAUUGUCAUGAUCGAAGUUGUUUUUAUUUUGGAUCUCAAUCCUGAAGGAUGCAAUUCCUAUACUUACCAAGAAUGUUUCCAUCUGUUUUAAAUUAUUUCACUCCUUUUACAAACUGGCAAUAAUUUUAACACCUUUUAUUUUCAGUGAAAAUAAUUCGAGAAUGAAGCUGAGAAUGAUACAUAAGCCUAGAGUUUUAACUCAGUGAAGUAAUAUGAUUCUGACAGUUCUUUAUUUUUUCCACAUUGUGUUAGAUUCCUAGUAAAAAGGGAAGAUGAAUCUUAUUGCUUUCAAAAACCUGACAAUAUGGUAUGUAGGACAGAAUGAACAUACAUAGAACAAUAUCCAAUAACACAGAUGAAGGUGUCAAAGCCAUUGCCAGACAGAGUGGUGCAGAUUGUGAGAUCAGUUUUCUUGGUAAGUGUUAUGGACUGAAUGUUGGUAUUCUCUAACAUUCAUAGAUUAUAAUCUAAUCCCCAAUGUGAUGGUAGCACUAUCUGGGGGUGAGACCUUUGGGAAGUAAAGGUCUUUUUCUCUCCACACCUGACCAAAAGUAGGAGCUCAACAAAUGUAUGUGCACUGAAAUGGAAUGGGGGCAAACAGCCUGGUGGUAUAGUACAAAGCAAAAUUUGGUUAUGGUAGGAGCAGUACAGAUACAUCUGGAUCACAAUCUAAAUUCUCUCCAGGGACCAAAUACAUAGAUUUACCCCUUGGGUUAUUGGUCUGGUAGACUCUUAAUUUUUAAUAGGGUUUAUAUAAUCUAGACUUCUUAUAACCUCUGCCCCACUGGAUAUAGGUAUUACUCAGUUGAAGUUAAAAAUUGAAUAUAGGAUUAUAUGCAAUGCUUUAUCUAUAACUUUCUUGUAAGGAUAAACUCAGUACAUCUCUGGUUUUCUAAUAUUUUGGAGGAAAUGUUACAAAUAGGUAAGGAAAGUUUGAGCCUCAUUUACGCAUGAGGGUGGACCCCUCCUGAAUGAGAUUAAUGUCCUUAUAAGAAAAGGCCAGAGAGCUAGCUCACUCUCUUUCAGCAUGUGAGGACACAAGAAGCCCAGAGUCUGCAACCUGAAAGAGGGCCCUCACUAGAACCCAAUCAUGCUGACGCUGUGAUCUUGGACUUUCAGGCUCCAGAACUGUGAGAAAUAAAUUUCUGUUGUUUAUAAGCCAUCCAUUUCAUGACAAUUUGUUAUAGUGGCCUGAACAAAGACAAUAGGUAUAAAAGAGAAUUGAUAAAGAUGAAAUUUAGGAAUACAAUUAGAAGUGAAAUGCAAAUAACAAGAGGGUGACCCCGGAGUAGAAAAGUGUCUGUGUCUGGUAGAUUUGAAUAGUUUACAAAUGCCAAGCCUGUGCAAAAUAGGAGUUACCAAUAUUAAUGGCUGCAUCAUUACAAGGUGUAUCCAAAAGACACUUAAGAUUAAGUCUGUGUUUGUCAGUGGGGAGGUGAGAGUAGGAAAUGUUAAAUAACCUGCCCUUUGUCACUCAGCCAACAAGUAAGAGAGCAGGGAAUCAAGUUCAGAUCUAAGUCCUCUAAAGUUAUUCCCCAAACUCCUCACAGCUUCACUUAAUAACCAUUUCCUGCUUUGGUUGACUUUACAAAGAUGACCAUACAUUUGAGAGCAAAAGGGGAAGCUAUGAAUCAUUACAUCUGGACAAAUGGCAUGAAUCAAGAUCAUCCACUGCCAACUAGAGUGUAUGUUCAUCUUCUGUCUAUAUAUCUUCAUUCCCAGACAUCUACCAGACAUCCAGUGACUUAUCUGAGAAGUACACUUGGAGGUCAGUUUCUUGGAGUAAAUUGAUCAAAGUGUUAAAAUUCUGGAAAGUUAUUGUAUUUUAAAAUAGUUCACACAAAAAAAUAGUACAAUGAAAUGAAUCACUAUUAGUGGAAUUUCAGGCCCUCAGGUACCUGAUAAUAAGAACUCUUUCAAAACAACAUAACUUUCCUGGUACCUGUCAAAUCACAAUUUCUAUAUGAGAUAUGGCCAGCUGGGUAUUCAAGGAUAAUUGGUCAGCUACUGUGAUGAUUAAUAUGGAGUGUCAACUUGUUUGCAUUGAAGGAUGCAAAGUAUUGUUCCUGGGUUUGUCUGUGAGGGUUGUAUUAGUCUGUUUUCAUGACACUGAUAAAGACAUAUCUGAGACUGGGCAAUUUACAAAAGAAAGAGGUUUAUUGGACUUUCAGUUCCACAUGGCUGGGGAGGCCUCACAAUCAUGGUGGAAGGUGAAAAGCACAUCUCACAUGGCGGCAGACAAAAGCAGAGAGCUUGUGCAGGGAAACUCUCAUUUUGAAAACCAUCAUAUCUCAUGACACUUAUUCACUAUCAUGAGAACAUCAUGGGAAAGACCUGCUCCCAUGAUUCAAUUACCUCCCACUGGGUCACUCCUACAACACGUGGGAAUUCAAGAUAACAUUUGGGUGAGGAUACAGCCAAAUCAUAUCAAGGGUGCUGCCAAAGGAGAUUAACAUUUGAGUCAGUAGACUGGAAGAGGCAGACCCACCCUCAAUCUGAGUGGUUACCAUCUAAGCAUCUGCCAAUGCAGCUAGAAUAAAGCAAGCAGAAGAAAGUGGAAUGAGAAGACUUGCUGAGUCUUCUGGUCAUCAUCUUUUCCCCAUGCUGGAUGCUUCUUGCCCUUGAACAUCAGACUCCAAGUUCUUCAGCUUUCAGACUCUUGGACUUAGAGCAGUGGUUUGCUAGGGGCCCUCAGGCCUUCAGCCACAGACUGAAGCCUGCACUGUCGACUUCCCUACUUUUGAGGUUUUGGUACUUGGAUUGGCUUCCUUGCUCCUCAGCUUACAGCUGGCCUAUUAUGGGACUUCACCCUGUGAUCGUGAGUCAAUUAUCCUAAUAAACUCCCCUUCAUAUAUACAUAUAUAUUAUUAGUUCUUACCUCUAGCGAACCCUGACUAAUACAGAUUUCUAGAUGUACAGAUGGAUUGAGAGGCAAACACUCUAAAUUAACAAGGCAGAAAUGAAAGAGCUGUUCUGCCCAAGAUCUUCAGCACUGCUCAGACCUCUAUAAGAAUUUCUUAUCCAGUUCAAAACUUAUCAACUUAAGAAAAAUAUAGAAAAUUUGUAAAGCAUUCAGAAGAAACUAAAGACUAAAGCAAAAUGAUAUGUUCAAAUACUUAACACUGCCAAAAUGUAAUGCAUUUCAAUAAAGUGAUAUAUGUCCUUAACUCACACAAAUUAAUAAAUGUCUAAUAGACAUACAUAUGGGAAGUGAAUAUCAAAUGCCUGUGUACUAUUUGUAUAAAAUCUAAGUUAAAACUCAUUUCCAUCCCAAAGAUGUGUGAUAUGUAAAAUAAUAUUCUACGUAUUUUGUUUAAUUUUGGGGGGUCAUUUAAGAUUUUUUUAUUUGCAGAAAAAAGAUGCUACAAACAAAAUUAAUGGGAAAAAACAAAAAUUAGUACCAAAAGAGGAAACGAGGACAAGGAAAAACACGAGCACAUAGAAAAAUGUAAAAAUACUCAAGCCAGGCUCAGAGAACCAGCAUCCCUGACAGCAAGUGUUGUUAAACAUCCACGUGGGUUGCUAAGGAAGGUUAGGGAAUCUCCCUUUCCCAGAAGUCUUUAAAAAUAGGAUAACAUCUGUUUGGAUGGGAUAAUGGUGGUACUGCUUGACUUGGCAGCUUCUUAAGCAAACCUAUGGUUUGGUAAUUCUACCAUUUCUAUUUCUGAUUUGAAAAGUAACAAAUAACUUCAGUUCACCUAGAAAAUUGGGCCUUAUAAUGACUUGUAAUAUUGUCUUAUAAAACUAUUUUCAUUGUCAUUAAUAGUGCAAAGGUAGAUAAUUGAGGUUUUCAGAGUAUACUUGAAUUUGCAGCCAAGGCUCAAACUUUCCUUAUCUAUUUGUAACAUUUCCUCCAAAAUAUUAGAAAACCAGAGAUGUACUGAGUUUAUCCUUACAAGAAAGUUAUAGAUAAAGCAUUGCACAUAAUCCUAUAUUCAAUUUUUAACUUCAACUGAGUAAUGCCUGUAUUCAGUGGGGCAGAGCUUAUAAGAAGUCUAGAUUAUAUAAACCCUAUUAAAAAUUGGAGUCUGCCAGACCAAUAACCCAAGGGGUAAAACAUAUAUAUUUGGUCCCUGGAGAGAAUUUAGACUGUGAUCCAGAUGUAUCUGUACUCCUCUUACCAUAACCAAAUUUUGCUUUCUACUAUACUACCAGACUGUUUGCCCCCAUUCCUUUUCACUGCACAUAUAUUUGUUGAGCUCCUACUUUUGGUCAGGUGUGGAGAGAAAAAGCCCACAGUCCCUGCCCUUGAGGAACACAUAAUCCAAAAAAAAAUGCAUGGGUGGCUCCAGGUGUUGUAGGGUCUUAGGCAAGUAUAAUUUUGGACAUGCAUUUUAAGAAAAAGAAUACAAAAUUACAAAUGCAGAAUUACUAAUAAAAGUGAAUAUUUAUUGUAUAGAGAAAAUUAAUCACAACAAAUUACAAGUUUUAGCAUUCUCACAAAUGCCAGAAAUACCACAAAAUCUCAGAAAAAAACCUAUAUUUUGUAUUAAUUAGCUGACUGAUCACAUGUAUAAUUCUACGUGUUCUACUUUUGGUUGCAUAUUGUUGACCACAUGAGAAAAAUUUCUUUAUUUACUUAUUCAGAUGGAGUUUCGCUCUGUCGCCCAGGCUGGAGUGCAGUGGCGCUAUCUCAUCUCACUGCAACCACUGCCUCCCAGGUUCAAGCGAUUCUCCUGCCUCAGCCUCCCGAGUAGCUGGGACUACAGGGGCAUGCCACCAGGCCCAGCUAAUUUUUGUAUUUUUAGUAGAGACGGGGUUUCACCAUGUUGGCCAGGAUGGUCUCAAUCUCUUGACCGCAUGAUCCACCCGCCUCGGCCUACAAAAGUGCUGGGAUUACAGGCGAGAGCCACCACGCCAGGCCAAGAAUUGUUUAUAUUAUUUUCUAUACAGAGAAAACAGUGAUAAUUUAUUCAGUCAUUCCUUUGGCAUGAUUGAAAUUUGUUUUCUUUCUGGCUCACAACUCUUUAAUAAUUAUAAGUAAGUUUUCAGGAUUGUUGUCAAGUACAGGAAAACUUCAGUCAAAUUUCUUUCAUAUAUGAACUGCAAGAGCUAUAAGAUUUCAGGGCAUUGAUAAUUUUCUUGCAUGUAAGUAAUUUUAAAUACUCUUUCAAUUGAUGUUACUCAUUAACCAGCUUGUCACUGGUGUCCUUGUUGUAAUGGUGUAGUGUGAGUUCAAUUUUAUCUCUGUCAAUGUCAGGAUUGUGUAUCAAAUUUGAAAGAAAUUUAAGUAUUUUCUCAAAGAGUUCAUGUGAUUCAGUCCUCUGGGUUAAAUGUGUUAUCAAAAACUAAAAAGCCCAUUCAGUACUUCCCUCUUCCUGUUAAUGAAUUAUUGCUCUUUGUAUUAUCUAAAAAUAUUUCUGUUACAAUUUACUUCUUGAUGUCAAAGUGAUUUCUAUUUGACUUUAUCUCUCAAUUGUUUUUUCAUAUCCUAUCAAAUUUCAUCUGCAUUUUCUCCCAGUUUCUUAUUACAUUAAUUCAUAGAUGACAAAAGAGUUACUCUUCAUAUAUGCCCAUAUUAGGAGUCAUUGAUUUCUGUGGGUUUUUAAUUGAAAAGAUCCAAAACAUCUAUGCAAAUUCCAGUUAAAAUGAAGUAUUUAUGUCUUAUUAAUUUUUUGAAUAAUCUGUUCACUUCUUGUUUUUGUUACUCUUCCAUGACUUUAAAAAUAUAUUUCAGGGUCAUUAAAUUGCACUGUACAAUGUUUUAAGACUUGAGAAGCUUUAGUGUGGGCAAACCAAACCAUGUUGUUACCUUUAGACUCUUAAAAGAAAUACUCUUGUUGGCAUUUUAAAAGUUGAGGUAAAAUUACCAUUCAAUAAAAUGUACAUAUCAUAGUGUUCAGCUCAAUGAGUUUUGAAUAGGCCAGGCGCAUUGACUCACUCCUGUAAUCCCAGCACUUUGGGAAGCCAAGGCAGGUGGAUCAUGAGAUCAGGAGUUCAAGACCAGCAUGACCAACAUGGUGAAACCCCGUCUCUGCUAAAGAAUACAAAAAUUAGCCAGGCGUGGUGGCACGUGCCUGUAGUCCCAGCUACUUGGGAGGCUGAGGC